rfam:Giardia lamblia ATCC 50803 SC_592 genomic scaffold, whole genome shotgun sequence.
GGCGUUGUAGCGCAGUGGUCCAGCGCAUCGGGCUCAUAACUCGAGGGUCGGAGGUUCGAUCCCUCCCGACGCCA